AUUGAACGCUGGCGGCAUGCUUUACACAUGCAAGUCGAACGGCAGCACGGGGGCAACCCUGGUGGCGAGUGGCGAACGGGUGAGUAAUGCAUCGGAACGUGCCCUGUCGUGGGGGAUAACACAUCGAAAGAUGUGCUAAUACCGCAUACGACCUGAGGGUGAAAGCGGGGGACCGUAAGGCCUCGCGCGAUAGGAGCGGCCGAUGUCUGAUUAGCUAGUUGGUGGGGUAAAGGCCUACCAAGGGGACGAUCAGUAGCUGGUCUGAGAGGACGACCAGCCAGACUGGGACUGAGACACGGCCCAGACUCCUACGGGAGGCAGCAGUGGGGAAUUUUGGACAAUGGGGGCAACCCUGAUCCAGCCAUGCCGCGUGCGGGAAGAAGGCCUUCGGGUUGUAAACCGCUUUUGGCAGGAACGAAACGGUGCGGGCGAAUACCCUGUGCUAAUGACGAUACCUGCAGAAUAAGCACCGGCUAACUACGUGCCAGCCGCCGCCGUAA
rnacentral:rRNA from 1 species